UUCCAUCGAGCUCUUUCGAUUUUCUAGAGAAACAACAGAAAUCAUUAACAAGAAAAGAAAAUCAAAACCCUCUCUUUUCUGUUUUUGGUUCGGAAUUUGAACUUUAAAAGGAAAAAGCAUUUCUCGGAGAGAGUCUUAAGAUCGAGACCUUGAAUUGAAGAUUAAAAGGAUUUCUAGGGUUUCGAUCUCGAAAUCUCGGCGAUUUUGAUCGGAAUCUAAUCGGAAAGGGACUAGAUUUUUUUUUUUGUGCUUUCGAGAUUUAGGUUUUGGAGUUUCCUUCGCAUUUGGAGGGAAACCAUGAACGAUCAGUCGCAGCUGAUGAAUCAAGCGCCGAUGAUGAGUCUGAGCCAAGCUCAAGUCAUGAGCCAGCCGAUGCCGCAGAUGAUGAGCCAGCCGCCUCAGAUGAUGUCACAGUCAUCUCAAGCCAUGGCGGCUCAGCAGCAGCAAAUGAUGAUGAAGAGUCAGUCUCUGCCGUUGAUGUUGAACCGAAACUACAAGGCUUGGCCUCAGCCUCAGCCUCAGCUACAGUUCGCGGCCCAAAAGCCUCCGUCGAAUCUCGGACGCAACAAUUGGAAAGGCAAGAAGGGCACCGACAAAAGGAAAGACCAGAGAAGAAUGGACAAGAAUCCGAAUGUCCCCAAUUUGCCACCGAGUGGUCAGACCAGUAGCGGAGGAGGCCCGGGAGGGUACAUACCCCCAACGCUUCAUGAGUUACAGUCGCAGAAUCGAAUGAAAGCCCGGAAAUUUUAUCCCAAAAAGAAGUUUAACAAUAGGUUUGCCCCUUACGCCCCAAGGAACACGACGUCCUUCAUUAUCAGAGCGAAGAAGUCCGGUGGCAUAGCCUCGCUGGUUUCGCCUUGCCCGGUGACACCUGCUGUUCUUCCCACGCCCAUUUUCUCGCCCUCGAGGGAGGUCUUGGGGGAUAUGGCGAAGGAGGAGUGGGGUGUUGAUGGGUAUGGGUCAAUGAAAGGGUUGAUUAGGCUGCGGUCGCCUGGAAAUGAUGAUGACGAGGAAGAGGGUGGUGGUGGGUCAAGUGAGAGUGACGUGGAGGAGCAUGUGGAGGUGGAGAGGAGGUUGGACCAUGAUUUGAGUCGGUUUGAGAUGAUAUACCCGAACUACAGUGGGGUCGAGUAUAACAACGUUUUGGAGAAUAGAGUGGAUGAUCAGGAUACCCAUAUAGCUCAAUUGGAGGAAGAGAAUCUGACAUUGAAGGAGAGGCUUUUCUUGAUGGAGAGGGAGUUGGGGGACUUGAGGAGGAGGAUGCAGUUUCUUGAGAGGAGGCACCAUGUAAUGGAGGUCAAUGAGGAGGUAGUAGAAAAUGGAUCUGAGAAUGAUAGUGAUGGAGGGUCAGAUGUUCCCCAUAUGGGUAUGGAGGGUGAAAGCAAUGCUGAGGUGGUAGAGUAUAUGUCCAGAGAUGGAGGAAGUAGAAAUGUUGGUGCCUUGGCUGAGAAUGAACGUGUUAGGGACGUUGAUGUAAGUAUGGAAGACUAUGUCCGCAUUGAAAUGAUUUUAAAGGACAAUGAAGUCAAAGAUGAAACAUCAAAUGAGGUUAAAGAUGAAACAUCAAAUGAGGUUGUAGGUGACGAACAGAAAGAGGAAGUUAAGAAUGAGCUUAUACCGGAAGAGGUAUUUGGAAAUAAAAAUAAGGUUAAUGAUAAGGUGAGUAAUGAAGUUGGGACCAAGAAUGAGAAUGAGUUAAUGCAGGGUCAGGUGAAUGCGAAGAAGGAUGAGGAAAUGGGAAUUGCGUGCCCAGAGAAGAGCAUUGGCGACGGUGACUAAUCUGUCCCCGCGUUAAUUGGCUUACACUCCUUGCUUCAAUCUUCUGUAUCGCCUGUGAGGGUGAUUCCAAAUGCGCAGUUGGAGAGCUCCAGCAUCUUUAAAGACGGUUGUUGUGCACUUUUCCUUUUCUAAGGGGGUGCAUUAGUGCCUAUUGAAUUCAAAAGUUGGAGAAGCAUUGAUGCUGAAAAGGGCCAAUACGUCUAAGUGGGAGUCUACUGCAGCAAAGACUUGACUGUUAGUUGAUGUUGCUCCUUCAUCAAUGUUUUUUUCCGGUGGGUGCAUGACUACGAACUCAACCUUGAGGACACCUUGGGGAAGCCGCUGAAGGCUUGUGUGAUGGAUGUUCUGUUCUUUGCUCGUUGCGUAAUUGUGGGAAUAGCUUUACCCAAUGUGCUUGCUUUUGUUUCCCCGGUAAUAUGAGCACUGCUGCAUGUUUCCCUUUCUCACAUUUGCUUGAAACUAUGAUGGGGAAAAAGAUGCAGAGCUCAUAUGGACUGCAGACAAGUGUUUUUUAUGCUUUGCAUCCAUACAUCAAAGCUGCUUUUGGCAAAGCCAAAGAUUCCUUUUAGCUAAGAUACUACUUUGUUUGGCUGAAAAUUCCUUGCAGUGGAUCUUCUCAGCAUCGGUCACUCAAUUACUUAGUGGUUAUCUUUUUAUAGUUCAUUUUCCUCAUUCCAAUAAUUUUCCAGGUUAAUAACGUACAGUUUUAAUGUAAUUGUACUGUUUUUUCAUUCACCAAUACAAAAACUAAGUUGUUUCAAUUCAACCA